rnacentral:lncRNA from 1 species
AAUCAAGAUUAACUUUUAGGACAUACAUCCAACAGAUGUUAGAUCAUAGAUAAAUCGUCAAAGCUCAUCAUCAGUCAUAUGAUAGAUCUGAUUAGCUCAAGUUCAAUAGUGAUUUUAAAUAAAUUUUUUUUUUCAUCAAUCACACUGUUAUGACCAUAGAAUUAUAGACUCAGCUUCUCAAAUCUCAUAAGACUACUCCUCUCUAUC